CUUACACAUUUUAUGGGCACCGAUGAACUCUGAAGUCCGGUCGCCCUAUAAUCACAAAUCAUUAAUUACAUUACACGUACCAUACAACGAUGAUAAUUCAGCUUAGCGCGAAAUAUUCUUGAUCGAAUCGGUGCUGCUCAGUGGCCCUUCCCUAAACCGAAAACAUCAUGCAGCAAGAAGUGUGCUAAAUUUUUGCGUUCCGCUGUGUUUCAGGUCCGGUCGUAUCAACCUCGUCCGCGGUCCGGCUGGUUCUCCGUUCUACGCUGUGGCCUGUGGUUUCUCGAGGAAGAAACCAACGCAAAGUCGACAGUUUAUCCGGUGUUCCGCAGGCUUCUGCGUCGAUCUGAGCUAACAAGGCUGGCUACAUGGGCAGAGCGGCAGCUGCCAGCUGCCUUUGGCUGUCUAGUGGCUAUACCGACAUAGAAGAUAGAGCAACCUACAGAACGAGGCGGAGCGCCCGCCGCUGCAGAUGGCGCCACCGGGACUGGCGAGCGACCUCCAGCAGCUGGCGCCGCCCUCGGUGGAGCUCACGCUGGCACAGAUGGCAGCACCGUCGACUGGUCACCGGCGUCGGUGUUUCUCGAGCCGCUGAACCGCCCGGCCUGCACUGUCUAUCACAUUCACGCCCAUCUAUCAUAAGUUAUUAGUGCCCUCGGCGGAGCUCGCCGGUAACAUAGAUGGCAGCACCAUCGCUAGAAGACCUCGACGGGCGUGGCGGUCCUUGUGAAAUGUGAACUAUAUAACUAAUAUAGUGUAGUGAGCAUCACGAGCGUGCUACUUACCACCAUGAGACCACUGUCCGACUCACUUCUCUACCAGCUCAGUACCCAGUACCCACUGUCUGUCAGUUCCGAGGAUUGAUAAGAACUCGGAGCUUUGACGUGAUCGCCGUUUUUGUCACGAAUCUGAUGUCGUGAAUGUGAUGAUUGGCGAUACUUGAUGAUGCUGUGCCGAUCUCAAGCGAUAUUGUUUUGUCGUUCACUAUUCCCUUUUAGCUCGAGGAAGAGGACAUUGAGUUGAAAUUGUGGGUAUGACCUUAGGCAAGGGCUACAUAAAUACUGUGAACUCAUAGGCAUCGAAGGAUGCGCAGUUGUUCGCUUAUUGGAUCUCAAUUUGUGUCACUGGCAGUGCAU
rnacentral:lncRNA from 1 species